rnacentral:rRNA from 1 species
AUUGAACGCUGGCGGCAGGCCUAACACAUGCAAGUCGAGCGGCAGCGGGAGAAAGCUUGCUUUCUUGCCGGCGAGCGGCGGACGGGUGAGUAAGGUAUGGGGAUCUGGCCGAAGGCGGGGGAUAACCACUGGAAACGGUGGCUAAUACCGCAUAAUCUCUAAGGAGCAAAGUGGGGGACCUUCUGGCCUCACAACUUCGGAUGAACCCAUAUGAGAUUAGCUAGUAGGUGGGGUAAAGGCUCACCUAGGCGACGAUCUCUAGCUGGUCUGAGAGGAUGAUCAGCCACACUGGGACUGAGACACGGCCCAGACUCCUACGGGAGGCAGCAGUGGGGAAUAUUGCACAAUGGGCGCAAGCCUGAUGCAGCCAUGCCGCGUGUAUGAAGAAGGCCUUCGGGUUGUAAAGUACUUUCAGUCGUGAGGAAGGUGUUAAGGUUAAUAGUCUUAGCAAUUGACGUUAGCGACAGAAGAAGCACCGGCUAACUCCGUGCCAGCCGCCGCGGUAA